rnacentral:rRNA from 1 species
ACCUAAGAGAUUAGGCGUUCCCUUCGGGGACGGAAUGACAGGUGGUGCAUGGUUGUCGUCAGCUCGUGUCGUGAGAUGUUGGGUUAAGUCCCGCAACGAGCGCAACCCUUAUUGUCAGUUGCCAGCAUUUAGUUGGGCACUCUGGCGAGACUGCCGGUGACAAACCGGAGGAAGGUGGGGAUGACGUCAAAUCAUCAUGCCCCUUAUGACCUGGGCUACACACGUGCUACAAUGGACGGUACAACAAGUCGCGAAACCGCUAGGUCAAGCUAAUCUCUUAAAGCCGUUCUCAGUUCGGAAUGUAGGCUGCAACUCCCCUACUUGAAGUUGGAAUCGCUAGUAAUCGUGGAUCAGCAUGCCCAGGUGAAUACAUUCCCGGGUCUUGUACACCCCGUAU